rnacentral:rRNA from 1 species
UACAGAGAGUGCGAACGUUGUUCGGAAUUACUGGGCUUAAAGCGCACGUAGGCGGUGUCGUAAGUGUCAGGUGAAAUCCCACGGCUCACCCGUGGAACUGCCUGGCAGACUGCGAUACUCGAGUGUGGUAGGGGAGAGCGGAACUCCUGGUGGAGCGGUGAAAUGCGUAGAUAUCAGGAGGAACACCGAUGGCGAAGGCAGAUCUCUGGGCCGUAACUGACGCUGAGGAGCGAAAGCGUGGGGAGCGAACAGG